rnacentral:lncRNA from 1 species
GCAAAGCUUUAGAUGUGAGAAUAUCAAUGGAGGAUUUCAGCUGUGCCCUUUCUCUGUAUAGGCAGCCUGUUUGCAAGACUUCCUUCUGAGAUGCACUGAGAGAUGAAGGUCUUGUGGAGGCAAUGAGACCUUCCUGGUGAUAUCAACAGGACAAGGGUUUGUGGAAGGGUUCUCACCCAAGUUCCUAUGUAUGCAGUCCUUUGCAGUCAUCUCUGGUCAAGCGUUCAUAUGUAACAUGGAGCUAAUGAAUUACUUCUG